rnacentral:rRNA from 1 species
UAGGGAAUCUUCGGCAAUGGGGGCAACCCUGACCGAGCAACGCCGCGUGAGUGAAGAAGGUUUUCGGAUCGUAAAGCUCUGUUGUAAGAGAAGAACGUGUGUGAGAGUGGAAAGUUCACACAGUGACGGUAACUUACCAGAAAGGGACGGCUAACUACGUGCCAGCAGCCGAGGUAAUACGUAGGUCCCGAGCGUUGUCCGGAUUUAUUGGGCGUAAAGCGAGCGCAGGCGGUUUAAUAAGUCUGAAGUUAAAGGCAGUGGCUUAACCAUUGUUCGCUUUGGAAACUGUUAAACUUGAGUGCAGAAGGGGAGAGUGGAAUUCCAUGUGUAGCGGUGAAAUGCGUAGAUAUUUGGAGGAACACCGGUGGCGAAAGCGGCUCUCUGGUCUGUAACUGACGCUGAGGCUCGAAAGCGUGGGGAGCAAACAGG